UACGUAGGGUGCGAGCGUUGUCCGGAAUUAUUGGGCGUAAAGAGCUCGUAGGCGGUGUGUCACGUCGGCCGUGAAAACCUGCAGCUUAACUGUGGGCGUGCGGUCGAUACGGGCAUCACUGGAGUUCGGCAGGGGAGACUGGAAUUCCUGGUGUAGCGGUGAAAUGCGCAGAUAUCAGGAGGAACACCGGUGGCGAAGGCGGGUCUCUGGGCCGAUACUGACGCUGAGGAGCGAAAGCGUGGGGAACAAACAGG
rnacentral:rRNA from 1 species